UAAAAUAAAUGUUAUAAAAAUGUAAGUGCGUAGCGACAGUCGGUAUAGCAUCGCGAAGUGUCUAUAUUCCGAUACGAAAAUCGUACCACCUUGGCACUAAGCUGGCAGUCGUUAAAUCGAGCGCUAAAAAUUAGGAAAAUUCCGUAACGCGGCACGUCGAACUUCUUGGCAAAUUUCCACAGGCUGCAUGCAUGUCAUUUCUCACGUCGUGUUAUGUUAUGUUACGUUAGCAAAAGGCAAGGAGCUUUGGGAUAUGUAUCACUGCCGGUCACGAGUAGAUAAUAAAUUAUUCUCCGUCACCCGCAUUAGAACUAUGAACUGAUUCUAAGACGGGUGUCUAACUCGUAUACCGACCUAACAUAAGCUGGUCAACUCCAUAACCAUGAGUCGGUGAAUUAACAAGCUUCUAAGCGAGCGAGCAGGCAAACAGGCUCACUGUGUACGCUGCUGCUCCGCAUCGCUUGUGUUGGCAGCAAUGGGAUUUGCAGCGACCUACUUGGCGUGCCUCGACCCUUGCAUUGAUUCAAGCGAACCAAAAUUAUUCUCGGACGAUUAUUGUUUGACAAUACUGGAGCCCACCGUCGUAUUAUACUACGGCAACAACAACAUCAGCGGCUGCAGCAGAAACGGUUACAGUGACGUACGGGCUUCCCUUUGUAAGUGUAGAAACGCUGAUCGCGUGUGGGAAACAACCAUAUACAAUGGGUUGAUUGCUGGACACCCGGUGAAAUAUGCCAGUCCCAGCCAAUAACCGGUAUUGCUACCCUCUCUUCGCUUUUCCACUGUCUUCUCCGAAGAGAGUCAGGGAUUCCGUAAUAGAGUGGGAGGAAGAGGGAGAGAGAGAGAUAACAGGAAGAACGUUGGGAAGGGGGAAGAGAAAACGAAAAGAAGAAAAGACGAGGAGAUUAAAGCUGGUCGAGAGAGCGGACAAAACUUGUUGGUGAGACUUGGAAUAGAUACAGGGUGCGUACGAGAUGCUGGGAGAAAGAGCUUAUCGACCCUUUAAAGAAAUAAUAACAAUAAUAAAGUGUUACAAUCUACUGGUUCUUCACUUAGGCGAAGAAUUACUUAUUAAGGCAACUCUAUGACGAUCGUACAGCGGGAAGCGAAAAUGGCCCUCCAAAAUAGUAUUGUAAAUUAAUGCUAUUACACUAUAGUAAGGCCAUUAUUGUACACUAGUGAAGCAUGAAGCAUCGUUCAAGAUAAUAAAACUAUAUAGGAUUAUUCUACGUUUAUUCAAAGUGUAUCAGUCGCAGGACUAUACGUUUCAAGGACUCAUUCGAGAUGAUUUAAAGUUUCAUAUGCGAGAUAAGAGAUAGAAAAUUGCAAUUACCCAGAAAGGUCGUUGCCUUGAUUACACUUGUAUCGGGAAUAUGUGUAUAAGAAGCAUGUGUCAAAUUCAGAACGGAACUGAGCACGGUAAUUACAUCAAAAAAGUGAAACGAAAAUGUCUGAGGGAUUGUUUGAAAGCAAAGGGUCUCCCGAAGAACCACAACGUUAGCAUAGAAUUAGAUGUUUUGGUGCAGCAUGUACGAAUAUUCAUCACCGAACGUGUAAAUCACCCUAUUCCUGUGUUGGGUGCUUUGUGAAUAUCUAGACAGUAUCGUACACGAUACUUGGUGUACGUAACUAUAUGUACGCGUGGUAGUUCUGCAAUUCCCUUUUUGUAGUUCGCACCGGUCGAUAUGCAACGCCACAGGCAUAUAGCGGACGUUUCGUAAACUACAGCAAGAUGGCCGCGUAUUUUCAUGGACAUUCUUCGGCGUCCCACCAGGCUUCGCAGUCCUCCUAUAUUUUCACCCGACAAACAAUUCCCCUGCCGACUGGCAAUGGAGCGUUAGGUAAACCGUAAGCGCGAGAAGCGUCGAUUAGCGUCGGCCAUAACAUUUCCGGUUGCUGUUGCCGGGACUAAUUUUGUCAUUAAAAUCAUUCAGUUCAGCGGCAACCUAGUAAUUACGCCUAGCUAUCGUGUAUUGGUGCUGGUACAAGGUUCACCAAGCUAAACUACGUGAAACGGACACGGAACUUUUCGACUGUCGCUCAAACAUCUCAAUUUUAGGACAGCCGCCAGCAAAGCAGAGCAAGUAAGACAGCAUACACUUCCACGAGAAAAAAAAAUCACCCAGGUCUGUCAUAUCCGUGCUUAGAAGAAUGAGAGUUCAGAGCAUCACAUGCGCGUAACUUUUAGCUAUAUGGAACCAGAAAAACAAAACGUCCAACGGCAACGAACCGGAAAUCCUAGUAGUUGAGAGAGACCUAGAAUGGAUGAGCACGAAUAAAGAACACGAUACCGCCAAUUGUUCUAAGAGAAAACAAAGAAGAAAAAAGGAGUAUAAAACGCCUUUAAAUCAAUAUUUAAUUGUAGUCUCGAGUUGUACUGUAACUUUUGAGGUUAUAAUAAGAUGCAACAUUCACCAAAGAGCAGAUAGUGCGUACAACUUGAAUAUAUCACAUUGUUUGGAGGCUGAGUACGCUGAGCAUUCUCGCACGUAUUGCUCCCGGUAGACAAAACGCGGCAACGUAAUUCACAGAGAAAGGAGAAACCGGAGUGCGAGUAAGAGAGGCUAUCAAAGAACGACGAAGCAAGAAGGAGAAGGAACGAGGUCGUCGAAGAGAAGAAUACAACGAGACGCUACACCAUUGUACUGGACCAGAUUUUAUUGCGCGUCAGGAGUCACUGCGCGCCGAUCCGGAUUCUCUUGUCGUUUCUCUCCUUCCGUUCGUUUAUACCCACGGCCAAUCAGAAUGAAGUACGAAGGAUCUGGAUAUAAGACGUUAACUCCGAAUAACCUAAAAAUAAUACUUUGUACAAUAAUUCGUCUUCCAAUUUCUCUAUAAACAACUAUAACCGUGGACAUACUGUUCACGCGACACAAAUUUUUUACAGUAUCCAAAGAUUCGACUGGCGUGAAAACUGUUUUAUUAGCAAGUGGAAUUUAAAUAAUUCUACCCAGGCUCCGUACAGUCGUGACCUGCUCGCCAGGUACACAAAGUGAAAUAAGUAUCCUAGAAUUCUGCGACGUGUUACCACUCCGUUCGAAGAAUGCCGUUAUCGCUUUCUACCUGCAGUAGAAAGGAUUUUUUUCACUUGAAUAUCGAGAAUCGAGAAAAAAAUCUUUAUCAUGAAUACGAAUAUUAUUUUUAUCGAGAGCUCAACAGCUCAAAGGGAUUGAAGCGACGGUCUUCAACCUGGACGUUGACAAUGCGUUCUAAAUCGCACUGAUAUAGAAGAGAGUGCGAAAGAUAACCUAUACAAUAAUAGCUAAGCCUCAAGCCAAUAGAGCGACCGUUCGCUACGAUCUUAUAAGAGAACUGCAUAAUGCUGUAGGCUUGGCGGAACUAGGAAGCGUGGGUUAGAGGGGUUACACGAUCUAUUAACAUUUCUCUCUUGCUCUGUCACUCGAGUCCCGUCAGUCACUGUUUUCUCUCCAGAUUCGCGUUAACACGCGAACACCAUGAAAAUGCCGGAAAAUAGUAUCUGAUUUCUGUAAGCCUAAGCGAGGAAUCUCCAUUCGCACGUAAUUUUCAGAUAACGAUCGAAUUUAAUUUACGAACCCACGCGAAACUGUAUAAUAGAGUUUCUCGUCUAUCGAGUAAUACGUAAGUAUGUAGUUGAUAUCGACAAUCUUAUUAGGAUCAAUAAAGAUUAUGGGAAUUGCAGGAACUGCGUGGCGCGACAAGCCUCGCUUUAAUUAGAUUCGCAUCGUUGUCGAUUAAACGGAAAGUUUAAUGGGACAAUUUCAUUGGACGAAUUUCGAGAAGAUUUUAUGGGUUCCUGAAUUGUGGACGCAGCCUAAGUAUCCGCAAAGGGUUUUCAAUAUUUCUUUUCUAUUAGGCAAAAUCUAUUCUGUGUAAAACAGCUUUAAACUUUUGGAUGAAAUUUUUAAAUAAGACGAAGAAGUGACGUCGCCCACUGACCGUUGGCACACAUUGCACUGGCCAUGACCUACCAAGUGGACGUGCAAUGCUAAAUGGACACCUUCUUACAUUUACUCAAGCCGGAGACUCGCUCUAAUAAUCGUAAUUUUCUUUGAAUCGAUUACAAAGGUUUUAACUAAGAAACAAGCUGCUUAUACGCUAAACCAUAAAGGUAUCAUGGGAACCCGACCGUUAAUGUAUACAACGGAUAUUAAACAUACGUCUCUGGGAAUCAGGAUACAAAUAUGGACACGUCGCGAUGGAUUAAUUAUUACGCUUAUUGAAGUUAUAUACGAGGACGUUGUUCAUUGUGCUUUAAAAGAUUAAGAAAUUCUACGAGAACGUUGAAUACUCAUACUGACACUAUGUAAAACUAAUCGCUUUACAGUCCUAGAAACUAUUAUUAUGUUUCUAUGAGAUGCAGAUUCAAUUAUUUCUACAAGUACACAGUCUCCUUUUUCUGGCAUUCGUCGAAAACAAUAAUCAUAAAUCUUCUAUGCAAUCCUAAC